rnacentral:tRNA from 1 species
GGUUCCAUAGUGUAGCGGUUAGCACAUCUGCUUUACAUACAGAAGGCCCUGGGUUCACACCUCAGUAGAGCCA